rnacentral:rRNA from 1 species
CUUCCCUGACAGUUUAACUGUCCUAAAGGGUUGUUCGAGACUAGAACGUUGAUAGGCAGGGUGUGUAAGCGUUGUGAGGCGUUGAGCUAACCUGUACUAAUUGCCCGUGAGGCUUAACCAUACAACACCCAAGGGGUUUUGUA